GCCCAGGUCUCUCCACCCCAGGGUCCGGGGAUCCAGGCCCUGUGGCCCAAUCCCUCAACCUCCUUUGAGGGGCGGGGCAGAAGAGAGUCUUCUGGGCUGGGCAGGAGAGGAGGGGCAGGUUACCUAGCAGACUUGCCUCCUUAUGUAACCUGGCUUGGGAGCCAGGGGCAGCCCAAAGGGGCCCCGGGCCGCCCCCAGGCUCGCUCCCCACCCAGAACCCGGGAGCAGUGGCCCCGAGAGAACCCUCUUCAUUGGACCGAGAGCCCCAGCCCCUGUCCAGGCCCUCAGAGAGCCGCGCUUCCCCCCAGGGAGCGGGGUGGGGGCCGGCACGACUUGCCAGCAGGUCCCUGUCAUCCCUCCACCACCAGCACCCUGCACCUCCCUGGCCUUUCGGCCUCCAUCUGCACCCCCACCUCCCGUCUCCCCCGGGCACUUCUCUCCCCACUCACCCGCGUUCCCCUCCGCCCGAGGGGAGCACCUCCCGGCAAACGCGCCGGGAAGGAGCGCGCGGGAGGGAGGCGGAGGCAGCGCCCAGGCUGUCCCGGGAGCGGACGGAGCCUCCCGUCCCAGGGCGGGAACCAACAAGGCGGCCGCCGGCUCCCCGGCGCCGGGCGGGAGGGGCCCGUGCUGCAGCGCCCCCCGCCGGGACCGCUGGCGGGCCCGGGGCCGCGGGAGCCUCCCCUCCCCGGCCCGCGCGUGGGGGCGGCCGUCCCAGGUGCCCGCGGCCGGCGCGCCCCUCCCGCCCCGCCCCGCCCCGCCCGGCCCGGCGCCCCCGGCGCGCGCCCUCGCACCCACCGUGCACUAGCCGCGGGCGGAGGCGGCGCCCCCGGGGCCGGGGCCCGGCUGCAGGCGCCGUGCCCACGCAGCGCCGCUGCCGCCCGGCCGCCGAGCUCCGCCCGGUGCCCAGGCCCGUCCCGGCCCGGGAGCCGCCGCGGCGCCAGCCCCGCCGCCGCUGCAGCGUCCGCCGCCGCCAGCGCCCCCCGUCGCGGCCGCCGAGCGUCCCUCCCGCAGGCUGUGGCGGGCGGCGGGACGGGUUGCAUCAGCCCCGGCUAUAUAGCGGCCCCUGGGCGGCGGGGAGGGGUCGGGAAUGCGGAACCCGCCGAGCUGCCAGCUCCAGACGUCAGAGGGGGACGGAGAGGAAGGGAAGGAGGGGACAGGGAGGAGGGGGUGUGGAUCCGGCGCCUCACACCCACUGACCUUCACCUCCCCCGCCGCCCCGGGCGCCCUCCUCCCGCCGCUCCUCGCGCUCCUCUCCCCGCGGGGGCAGCGGCGGCCCGGGCUCCCGCGCGUCCCCCGGCGCCCACCCCGCGGGGAAGCAGGACGCGGCGGGCGGUUAUGUAA
rnacentral:lncRNA from 1 species